AGGUUCGAUCUUUGGCUCAGAUUAGACGCUGGCGGGAUGCUCUUUACGCCGCAAGUCGAACGGCAGCACGGACUUCGGUCUGAGCGGCGAAUUGGCGAACGGGUGAGUAAUGUAUCGGGAGCGUGCCUAGUAGCGGGGGAUAACUACGCAGCGCGGCUAUACCACGCGCCCUUCGGGGAAAGCAGGAGACGCUGAACCUCGCACUAUUGAAGCAGCGUUAUCGGAUUCAGCUAGUUGGUGGGAGAGUAACGGCUCGCAAGGCGACGAUCCGUAGCUGGUUUUGAGAGGACGACCAGCCGCUGGGACUGAGACUGGCCCAGACUCCUACGGGAAGCAGUGGGAAAUUUUGGACAAUGGGGAAACCUGAUCCGGCCAUCCCGCGUGUGCUGGUAGAGGCCCCUUUCGGUUUAUAAAACACUUUUGGCAGGAAAGAAACGGCACGGGAUAAUACCCCGUGCAGCCGAGCGGUACCUGCAGAAUAAGCACCGGCUAACUACGUGUCAGCAGCCGCGGUAAUACAUAGGGAUGCGGCGUUAAUCGGAAUUACUGGGGCGUAAAGCUGCGCGGGCAGUUCGGAAGAAGAUGUGAAAUCCCAGAGCUUAACCUGGAACUGCGUUUUAUACCGAGCUAGAGUGUGUCAGAGGUGGAAUUCCGCGUGUAGCAGUGAAAUGCGUAGAUAUGCGGAGGAACUGCGGGUGGCAGCCUCCUGGGAUAACACUGACGCUCAUGCACGAAAGCGUGGGGAGCAAACAGGAUUAGAUACCCUGGUGAACCACACGCCCUACGCGAUGUCCAACUGGCUAUUUGGGGCCUUCGGGCCUUGGUAUGCCAGCUAACGCGUGAAGUUGACCGCCUGGGGAGUACGGUCGCAGUUAAAACUUGAAGGAACUGGCGGGGACCCGCACAAGCGGUGGAUGAUGGAUUAAUUGAUGCAGCGAAAAACCUUACCUACCCUUGACAUGUCUGGAAUCCCGAAGAGAUUUGGGAGUGCUCGCAAAGGGAACUCAGAACCUGGGUGCUGCAUGGCUGUCGUCAGCUCGUGUCGUGAGAUGUUGGGUUAAGUCCGCAACAGGCGCAACCCUUGUCAUUAGUUGCUACGAAAGGGCACUCUAGUAGAGACUGCCGACAAACCGGAGGAAGGUGGGGAUGACGUCAAGUCCUCAUGGCCCUUAUGGGUAGGGCUUCACACGUCAUACAAUGGUGGGGACGGGGAGUCGCCAGCCCGCGAGAGGAGCCAAUCCCAGAAACCCGAUCGUAGUCCGGAUCGCAGUCUGCAACUCGACUGCGUAUGAGUCAGGAUGCUGGUAAUGCUUGGAUCAGCAUGUCGCGGUGAAUACGUUCCCGGGUCUUGUACACACCGCCCACGUCACACCAUGGGAGCUGGGUUUUACCAAGUAAGGUCAGCCUAACCGUAAGGAGGGCGAUUACCACGGUAGGAUUCAUGACUGGGGUGAAGUCGUAACAAAAGACAG
rnacentral:rRNA from 1 species